AGAACUGAUAAUCCGACAGGUGGAAUGAUGGAGUAACGUCCGGAAACGCCUGCCCUGAGACUCCGACUGGCGGUGUAAGCGGAAACGCUGACCGUCAGAAGCUCGGUGAAGUCGGCUGAGAGCAACCGUAAGGGUAUGGAUGCACACACGAAAGCUGUCCAGAGGUGGAUGGUGUUGCCUAUAGGUCGGGGGUCUAUAAA
rnacentral:ncRNA from 1 species